rnacentral:snRNA from 1 species
ACACUCACCUGGCAGGACGACCCCGCUCACGGCGGUGGUUUUGCAGGGCGAGGCUUAUCCACUGCCCUUUGCAUGUGCCGCCCUGUGAUUUCCCCAAAUGUGGGAAACUCCCGCGUAAUCGUGGUCGUGGGGGACUUUUCUUGCACUCUCCCCUU